CCUACGGGGUGCUGCAGUGGGGAAUAUUGGACAAUGGGCGAAAGCCUGAUCCAGCCAUGCCGCGUGUGUGAAGAAGGCCUUCGGGUUGUAAAGCACUUUCAGUGGGGAAGAAAGCCUUGGGGCUAAUACCCUCGAGGAAGGACAUCACCCACAGAAGAAGCACCGGCUAACUCCGUGCCAGCAGCCGCGGUAAUACGGAGGGUGCGAGCGUUAAUCGGAAUUACUGGGCGUAAAGCGCGCGUAGGCGGUCUGAUAAGCCGGUUGUGAAAGCCCCGGGCUCAACCUGGGAACGGCAUCCGGAACUGUCAGGCUAGAGUGCAGGAGAGGAAGGUAGAAUUCCCGGUGUAGCGGUGAAAUGCGUAGAGAUCGGGAGGAAUACCAGUGGCGAAGGCGGCCUUCUGGACUGACACUGACGCUGAGGUGCGAAAGCGUGGGUAGCAAAUAGGAUUAGAUACCCCUGUAGUC
rnacentral:rRNA from 1 species